rnacentral:rRNA from 1 species
UAACGCGUGGGUAACCUGCCUCAUACAGGGGGAUAACAGUUAGAAAUGACUGCUAAUACCGCAUAAGCGCACAGUGCUGCAUGGCACAGUGUGAAAAACUCCGGUGGUAUGAGAUGGACCCGCGUCUGAUUAGCUAGUUGGUGGGGUAACGGCCAACCAAGGCGACGAUCAGUAGCCGGCCUGAGAGGGUGAACGGCCACAUUGGGACUGAGACACGGCCCAG